CCCCUAGAUGUUCUGGGCCGCACGCGCGCUACACUGAACAGUUCAACAAGUCUUAACCUUGGCCGAUAGGUCUGGGUACUCUUUGAACGCUGUUCGUGAUUGGGAUAGACCUUUGCAAUUAUGGGUCUUCAACGAGGAAUUCCUAGUAAACGCAAGUCAUCAGCUUGCAUUGAUUACGUCCCUGCCCUUUGUACACACCGCCCGUCGCACCUACCGAUUGAAUGGUCCGGUGAAAUCUCGGGACGGCGGCUUGGUCGCUUGCGUCCGACUGCUGAAACUUGAUUAAACCAUAUCAUUUAGAGGAAGGUGAAGUCGUAACA
rnacentral:rRNA from 1 species